rnacentral:rRNA from 2 species
GGGUUGUGAGGUUAAGCGACUAAGCGUACACGGUGGAUGCCCUGGCAGUCAGAGGCGAUGAAGGACGUGCUAAUCUGCGAAAAGCGUCGGUAAGGUGAUAUGAACCGUUAUAACCGGCGAUGUCCGAAUGGGGAAACCCAGUGCAAUUCGUUGCACUAUCGUUAACUGAAUACAUAGGUUAACGAGGCGAACCGGGGGAACUGAAACAUCUAAGUACCCCGAGGAAAAGAAAUCAACCGAGAUUCCCCCAGUAGCGGCGAGCGAACGGGGAGCAGCCCAGAGUCUGAAUCAGCUUGUGUGUUAGUGGAACGGUCUGGAAAGUCCGACGGUACAGGGUGAUAGUCCCGUACACCAAAAUGCACAGGCUGUGAACUCGAAGAGUAGGGCGGGACACGUGGUAUCCUGUCUGAAUAUGGGGGGACCAUCCUCCAAGGCUAAAUACUCCUGACUGACCGAUAGUGAACCAGUACCGUGAGGGAAAGGCGAAAAGAACCCCGGCGAGGGGAGUGAAAAAGAACCUGAAACCGUGUACGUACAAGCAGUGGGAGCACCUUCGGGUGUGACUGCGUACCUUUUGUAUAAUGGGUCAGCGACUUAUAUUCUGUAGCAAGGUUAACCGUAUAGGGGAGCCGCAGGGAAACCGAGUCUUAACUGGGCGUUAAGUUGCAGGGUAUAGACCCGAAACCCGGUGAUCUAGCCAUGGGCAGGUUGAAGGUUGGGUAACACUAACUGGAGGACCGAACCGACUAAUGUUGAAAAAUUAGCGGAUGACUUGUGGCUGGGGGUGAAAGGCCAAUCAAACCGGGAGAUAGCUGGUUCUCCCCGAAAGCUAUUUAGGUAGCGCCUCGUGAAUUCAUCUUCGGGGGUAGAGCACUGUUUCGGCUAGGGGGUCAUCCCGACUUACCAACCCGAUGCAAACUACGAAUACCGAAGAAUGUUAUCACGGGAGACACACGGCGGGUGCUAACGUCCGUCGUGAAGAGGGAAACAACCCAGACCGCCAGCUAAGGUCCCAAAGUCAUGGUUAAGUGGGAAACGAUGUGGGAAGGCACAGACAGCCAGGAUGUUGGCUUAGAAGCAGCCAUCAUUUAAAGAAAGCGUAAUAGCUCACUGGUCGAGUCGGCCUGCGCGGAAGAUGUAACGGGGCUAAACCAUGCACCGAAGCUGCGGCAGCGACACUAUGUGUUGUUGGGUAGGGGAGCGUUCUGUAAGCCUGCGAAGGUGUGCUGUGAGGCAUGCUGGAGGUAUCAGAAGUGCGAAUGCUGACAUAAGUAACGAUAAAGCGGGUGAAAAGCCCGCUCGCCGGAAGACCAAGGGUUCCUGUCCAACGUUAAUCGGGGCAGGGUGAGUCGACCCCUAAGGCGAGGCCGAAAGGCGUAGUCGAUGGGAAACAGGUUAAUAUUCCUGUACUUGGUGUUACUGCGAAGGGGGGACGGAGAAGGCUAUGUUAGCCGGGCGACGGUUGUCCCGGUUUAAGCAUGUAGGCUGGUUGUCCAGGCAAAUCCGGAUAAUCAAGGCUGAGGUGUGAUGACGAGGCACUACGGUGCUGAAGUAACAAAUGCCCUGCUUCCAGGAAAAGCCUCUAAGCAUCAGGUAACAUCAAAUCGUACCCCAAACCGACACAGGUGGUCAGGUAGAGAAUACCAAGGCGCUUGAGAGAACUCGGGUGAAGGAACUAGGCAAAAUGGUGCCGUAACUUCGGGAGAAGGCACGCUGGUGUGUAGGUGAAGUCCCUGCGGAUGGAGCUGAGACCAGUCGAAGAUACCAGCUGGCUGCAACUGUUUAUUAAAAACACAGCACUGUGCAAACACGAAAGUGGACGUAUACGGUGUGACGCCUGCCCGGUGCCGGAAGGUUAAUUGAUGGGGUUAUCCGUAAGGAGAAGCUCUUGAUCGAAGCCCCGGUAAACGGCGGCCGUAACUAUAACGGUCCUAAGGUAGCGAAAUUCCUUGUCGGGUAAGUUCCGACCUGCACGAAUGGCGUAAUGAUGGCCAGGCUGUCUCCACCCGAGACUCAGUGAAAUUGAACUCGCUGUGAAGAUGCAGUGUACCCGCGGCAAGACGGAAAGACCCCGUGAACCUUUACUAUAGCUUGACACUGAACAUUGAGCCUUGAUGUGUAGGAUAGGUGGGAGGCUUUGAAGCGUGGACGCCAGUCUGCGUGGAGCCAACCUUGAAAUACCACCCUUUAAUGUUUGAUGUUCUAACGUUGGCCCCUUACCGGGGUUGCGGACAGUGUCUGGUGGGUAGUUUGACUGGGGCGGUCUCCUCCCAAAGCGUAACGGAGGAGCACGAAGGUUAGCUAAUCCUGGUCGGACAUCAGGAGGUUAGUGCAAUGGCAUAAGCUAGCUUGACUGCGAGCGUGACGGCGCGAGCAGGUGCGAAAGCAGGUCAUAGUGAUCCGGUGGUUCUGAAUGGAAGGGCCAUCGCUCAACGGAUAAAAGGUACUCCGGGGAUAACAGGCUGAUACCGCCCAAGAGUUCAUAUCGACGGCGGUGUUUGGCACCUCGAUGUCGGCUCAUCACAUCCUGGGGCUGAAGUAGGUCCCAAGGGUAUGGCUGUUCGCCAUUUAAAGUGGUACGCGAGCUGGGUUUAGAACGUCGUGAGACAGUUCGGUCCCUAUCUGCCGUGGGCGCUGGAGAAUUGAGGGGGGCUGCUCCUAGUACGAGAGGACCGGAGUGGACGCAUCACUGGUGUUCGGGUUGUCAUGCCAAUGGCACUGCCCGGUAGCUAAAUGCGGAAGAGAUAAGUGCUGAAAGCAUCUAAGCACGAAACUUGCCCCGAGAUGAGUUCUCCCUGAGACUUUAAGUCUCCUGAAGGAACGUUGAAGACGACGACGUUGAUAGGCCGGGUGUGUAAGCGCAGCGAUGCGUUGAGCUAACCGGUACUAAUGAACCGUGAGGCUUAACCUUACAACGCCGAAG